GACGGCUCAUAAUGUCAGGAGUGGAAGGGUUGUAAAACCACAGGAGGCUGUUGGGGAGGACGGCUCAUAAUGUCAGGAGUGGAAGGGUUGUAAAACAGAAGGGAACUAUGUGUUUGAUACCAGUCACUUCACCACAUUCCUCCCAUCACUAUGAGCCCUUCCUCCCCAAUUAAUAAGGUGCCCCCAGUCGCAUGUGGUGUGGUACAAAAUACUAUAUGUACCGUGUUAGUGGUGUUAUAUAAAUACUAUAUGUACCGUGGCUGUGUAAUUAGUGAAUCAUUUGGAUAUACUGUAUGUAGUAGAAAAUACUAAUAGUACCGUGUUAGUGGUGAUAUAUAAAUACUAUAUGUACAAAUAAUUAAAAAAAAUAAUUGUAAGGAUAAUUAUCAGCUUUGGCUAGAAGAGCCACACUAAUGUCGGGAUUCAAUCCCAUGGUGCUUUGUCAACAACGCACCAUUUAAACCUUUCCGAUUGAACCAACAUGCAGCGAGGAAUGUGGUCUCCCCGACAGGUGCGGACUUUGCCUAUGAAUGACGUUAAUGGCGUUGUUGACGAAGCGCAGUCAGAUUGAAUCGGGGACUAACAGUGAUCUGGUUUAGUACAGGUGGACUUUAAUUAAAGGGGCAAUGCAGGAUUCAAAAGAACAACAAAGUGUUCUCCGUUAUCAUCCAAUCCCAGAUCAGGAUUAUUUAUUUAUUAGUUAUCAUUCGCUAAGAAGUCAAAAAACAGAUGUGGUCCGACCAAUCCCAGAUCAGGAUUAUUUACAUACAUAGUUUGUGAGGCACUAAUAUGGAUUUACAUAUUCCAUUACCAGGCACUUUUUAUCCACAUCAACUUUCAGUCAGUCAGUCAUUUUUACAUAUGGGGAGGCCCCAGGAAUCAAACCCACAAUCCUGGUGUUGUAAAUGCUCUACCAACUGAACCACAGAGGACAGGCUCUACCAACUGAGUCCACAGAGGACAGGUUCUACCAGCUGAGUCACAGAGGACAGGUUCUACCAACUGAGCCACAGAGGACAGGUUCUACCAACUGAGCGACAGAGGACAGGCUCUACCAACUGAACCACAGAGGACAGGUUCUACCAACUGAGUCACAGAUGACAGGUUCUACCAACUGAGUUACAGAGGACAGGUUCUACCAACUGAACCACAGAGGACAGGUUCUACCAACUGAGUCACAGAGGACAGGUUCUACCAACUGAGUUACAGAGGACAGGCUCUACCAACUGAACCACAGAGGACAGGCUCUACCAACUGAGCCACAGAGGACAGGUUCUACCAACUGAGUCACAGAGGACAGGUUCUACCAACUGAGUUACAGAGGACAGGUUCUACCAACUGAGUCCACAGAGGACAGGUUCUACCAUAGAACUACAUUUUUAGAUAUGCUAAUAUCUCCUCUCACUUUUUCUUUCCCUCCCUCCAACUGUCUCCCCCUCUUUUUCUCUCCCUCUCUCCCACACCUCUCUCGGUCUCUUUCUCUCCCACUAUCCUCCCCUUUCUCUCUCCCUCUCUCCCACACCUCUCUCAGUCUCUUUCUCUCCCACUAUCCCCCCCUCUCUCCCCUCUCCCUCUCUCCCACACCUCUCUCGGUCUCUUUC
ensembl:lncRNA